rnacentral:tRNA from 1 species
ACACUUUUAGUUUAAGGGUCAGAACAAUAGUCUUCGAAACUAUUCAUAUAGGUUCAAUUCCUAUAAAGUGUU